UGGGGAAUCUUGGACAAUGGGGGCAACCCUGAUCCAGCCAUGCCGCGUGAGUGAUGAAGGCCUUAGGGUCGUAAAGCUCUUUCGCCUGUGAAGAUAAUGACGGUAGCAGGUAAAGAAACCCCGGCUAACUCCGUGCCAGCAGCCGCGGUAAUACGGAGGGGGUUAGCGUUGUUCGGAAUUACUGGGCGUAAAGCGCACGUAGGCGGACCAGAAAGUUGGGGGUGAAAUCCCGGGGGCUCAACCCCGGAACUGCCUCCAAAACUAUUGGUCUAGAGUUCGAGAGAGGUGAGUGGAAUUCCAAGUGUAGAGGUGAAAUUCGUAGAUAUUUGGAGGAAACACCAGUGGCGAAGGCGGCUCACUGGCUCGAUACUGACGCUGAGGUGCGAAAGUGUGGGGAGCAAACAGGAUUAGAUACCCUGGUAGUCCACACCGUAAAACGAUGAAUGCCAGUCGUCGGGUAGCAUGCUAUUCGGUGACACACCUAACGGAUUAAGCAUUCCGCCUGGGGAG
rnacentral:rRNA from 1 species